rnacentral:lncRNA from 12 species
AGCCGGUGCCGCGCCCAGAGCAGCAGCAGCAGCCGCCACCGCCGCCGCCGCCGCCGCCGCCGCCGCCACGAUGCGAGGCCGUUACCUGUUUGAUCCCCGCCGGCCAGCCGGCGCGGGCCAACUUUUCCCGAUCGCCAGGCCCCGAAGUUGCAAGGACUAGUCGGAGGCUCGGAGGGGCCAGGGCGAGGGCGCGCUCCCCCGCGCGCUGCCUCCUUCCCCCCUCCCGCCGCCCGCGCUCGCGGCCUCUCUCCCGCCCGCGCCGCUCCCUCCGCCCGCCUCCCCGCUCCGGCCCCCUCCGCGCGGCACAGGGCGGGGGGUGCCGCGAAACUCCGACCCGAGCCACUUGGACUCGCACAGUGUCCUCGGGGCGCAGGGGCCGAGCGCACGCAGCCGCGCCGCGCUGCCUCCGCCGCCAGUCUCGCAGCGAUCCCGGCCCGGGCUGUGGCGUCGGCUCGGACCCAGGCAGCCCGCAGCCCGCGCGGGGGCCGGACCACCGCCCGAGGAGCGGGGACGGCAUGCUGAGCCCCCUUCUCGGCUGACGGCCGAGCGCGGAGAAGCCCGGGCGAGCCCCGGCAAGGGAGGCGAGGGCGGCCGCGGCGCGAGACCGAGCGGACGCGCCGCGGAGGAGCGGGAGGCGAAGGCGAAGCCAGAGAGGGGCCGCCAAAGAAGUGGUGGUGGUGGGCGUCGUGGCCAUGGCGGCGGCUAUCGCCAGCUCGCUGAUCCGUCAGAAGAGACAAGCCCGCGAGCGCGAGAAAUCCAACGCCUGCAAGUGUGUCAGCAGCCCUAUCAAAGGCAAGACCAGCUGCGACAAAAACAAGUUAAACGUCUUUUCCCGGGUCAAACUCUUCGGCUCCAAGAAGAGGCGCAGAAGGAGACCAGAGCCACAACUUAAGGGUAUAGUCACCAAACUCUACAGCCGACAAGGCUACCACUUGCAGCUGCAAGCAGAUGGAACCAUUGAUGGCACAAAAGACGAGGACAGCACUUACACCCUAUUUAACCUCAUCCCUGUGGGUCUUCGAGUGGUGGCCAUCCAAGGAGUUCAGACCAAGCUGUAUUUGGCAAUGAACAGCGAGGGAUACCUGUACACCUCGGAACAUUUUACACCUGAGUGCAAAUUCAAAGAAUCAGUGUUUGAAAAUUAUUACGUGACGUAUUCAUCGAUGAUAUACCGCCAGCAGCAGUCCGGCCGAGGGUGGUAUCUGGGUCUGAACAAGGAAGGGGAGAUCAUGAAAGGAAACCAUGUGAAGAAAAACAAGCCUGCAGCUCACUUUCUGCCCAAACCACUCAAAGUGGCCAUGUACAAGGAGCCGUCAUUGCACGACCUGACCGAGUUCUCCCGAUCUGGAAGCGGGACCCCUACGAAGAGUAGAAGUGUCUCCGGCGUGCUGAACGGAGGCAAAUCCAUGAGCCACAACGAAUCAACGUAGCCAGUGAGGGCAAGACAAGGGCUCUGUAACAGAACCUUACCUCCAGGUGCUGUUGAAUUCUAGCAGUCCUUCACCCAAAAGUUCACAGUUGUCAAUGACGUUUACCAAACAAACAGGCAGAGUGCACUAGUCUCUCUGCCACUAAAACCUUCCUAUCAUCCAUACUAACGCCCCAUAAUUUCAAUUGAGCUUGUGCAGCAGACUGCCAAGCGCCAUCAGUGGUGAACUAAAUCCUGGAGAAGGACUGCCCAAUUUCUCAUGAUCUCACCUGUGCUUUGGGGAUGGCAAGCCAAAAACAUUUCACAGCACUAAUGCCGAUAAAAAUUUGCUCUCCAACCAAGAAAAUUUAAAAGACCACAAUUGCUCUUCAAAAACUAAACUAAACUAAACUAAAACAAAAUUAACUGCUUAAAUGUUUUGUAGGGGCAAACAAAAUUAUGUGACUU